rnacentral:lncRNA from 1 species
AUGUUGGAAAUGCAAACAGAAACUGUAGACUUUUACAUUAUAAACUUUUUCAAACAACAGGUCUGUUGCAUGCUGACACAAAUAACAUGCUUCUCUGAAAAAAAAAAUCAGUGUUUUCUAAAAGAAAAAAAGUUCGCAACAAGAAGAAUUGAUUUACAUUUUUUGCAAAUUCCUUUCAUGUCUGAAGUAAUGAAAGAUGGUUCUCCAUCUCCCUUUGCAACCAAACUGUUGUAUAGGAAAUGUCUGAUCACCUCCGGGAAACUCCACUCCAGGGCAGCAAGAAAAAUAACUUCCUGGGGACAUUACGCAAAUAGUUUGGCCUCAAACACCCACCAAAACGGCUGCACGUGCCUACCGGCUCAGGAUAUGGAUGGGAACAGAGCGGCUGGGUUAUCAGAGGCCAUCUCCCCACAUGAUGUGGACAGGAGGAAGCCAGAACAAAAGCGUCUGUGCCGUUGUCACCAGUGAGCUGAGGGGUUUUCUGCCCAGUUAAGAUGGAAAUCACAAAUGGACAAAGUGCAGCUUCUUUGCUGUUAGCGGCUCCAGGUUUUGAGUGCCUGUGGCUCCUGCCCCUUAGCGAGACAGCUCCAGGCAGUUCCUAGGCGCCCCGUCAGCUCCCCUGCAGCUCAGGCUCAGAGCCCUCUUGGCAUUUCCGGAGCUCCCCAAGGGCUCCUGCUCCCUUUCUGGCAUCCUCUGCGGGCCACCACCUGUUACCACUCAUCAGCAUCAGUGGAUUAGUCUUGGCUCUCUCACCAGUCACCAGGGAUGUCUGCCUUUGCUGCUGGUCUCUGCCCCGGUCCCUGCCAAUCACUGCUGGUCUCUGGAACUCCUGAGUGCUUGCAGUCUCUCCAAUGUGACUUGCUCUGCCCACACUUCCAGGACAGGAAUCACCAGUAGUUGUAUAGGACCACGAGAGUGAGGCUUUAUUUGUACCCAGCAGCAGCACCAGGGGGGGUCAGGACACCACAGGGAGCCCUUCUUGCGGAAACCAAGAGCAUGAGUGUGAACUGCUUCUACGGACCCUGCCACAUGCAGUUGUGUACAUGCUGUGGACCUGCCUGAGCACUUUCGCAGUGAUAACAGAGGGAGGGGCAGCUCAGGACAGUCACCAGCAGGGCCUGCAGGGUGGAGUCAACAUGGGUAGGUCCACAUCUUAGGCUGGCUGCAGCCAAGGCAGAAUCGUCUCCCAGAGCCCACGGCACCCUGGGGAUCGUCACAGCACCUAGAGAGGCUCAGAAGAGCUUCGGGAGGAGCAGCUGCUUGAAUGGCAGCUACUGCCUCUCUCCCAAGUGUGGGGCUGAAGUCAUGACCACAGCUGCUCUGGAGACGUCUUUAGUGGGACUGGCUGUUGAAGGAAUCACAGAUAUCAGCGACGGGCCGCAGCAGUCCCCCGAUCUUUGCCCUGUCCAGUCAGAUUAUCAGUGAGUCUGUCCUCCUUGGUUUGCAGCCCCCAAGUCAGCCAUCUGCAGACACCUAGAAUUCACCAGACUGCUGGGCUGGUCCACCUCAAGUUAAGUGGACAUCACGAGUAAUGAUCAUAAGGCGUGUGUGUGUGUGUGUGUGUGUGUGUGUGUGUGUGUGUGUGUAUGAAAUCCAGCCACAGUGCCUAGCAGGCCACACUGCCCAGGCAGGACUGUCCCUCCAGGAAAGGGUACCUCCUGGCACUUGGUGAUUGUUCAGAGGCCUGUGGGGCCUCAGGGCCACCCUCUGGGCCUCUGGCCCAGACCAGAAGCCUGUUUCCCCCUGGGGGACCACACUGUCCCGCCCCACCUGGGGCCCAAGUGAGUGCAGCCCCUUCCUGGGAAGCCGUGCUCCUCCCAUGGAAGGAAGCUGCAGCCGAGGCCAGCAUGGGAAGGACAGAAUGCUUCACCCCCUCCUGUUACUGUACAGAUGAUGUUAACCUUCAGCACCAAGCAACCACAGUGCUAUGGUUGACACAUCGUGUCAACUUAGGGAGUCUAGAGGUUUGGCUAAGCGACUCAGCAGGAACCUCAGCUUACUUUGUAUACAUCCUGAGCCUGUGCAAGAGGAAGGCAUGGAGAUUAUGUGAAAGCUACACGUGCCUGGGUGGGGUAGCCUGUUUACAAUGUAAGGGAGGGAAAGAGGCUGCUUGCUGUUCCCCUCUUUUGUGCCUGUUGUCUUUGCUGUUGCCCCCUACCCUGUGCCACCCUGCCUUGGAGCCAGCCAAGAAUGGACUGAAACCUCCACAAACUGUGAGCUAAAUAAACCUUUCCUU